UGCUGAUGAAGAAGUGAUCCAUUUGUUUGCAUCAUCAGAUGAUGAUCAUGAUGACCUGCUGACAUUUGAUGAAAUCCUGGAUCACCAUGAAAUAUUUGUGGGCAGUGAAGCUACAGACUAUGGUGACCAUUUACACAACAUCCAUGUCUUCCAGGAUGAACUUUGAAGGGUGACAUUUUGUAGAAUUAUUCUGAGAAGUGAAUGUCUGAAUUCAAAGGGAAGAACGCUGGUAAGGUGGUACACAAAAUAUACAGGACAGUCCAGACCACAUGAGUACACACAAAAAUGUGUACGUGUACGUCUUACUUGGUAUGAAAUGCCACUGCUAGUAAAAGAAACUGGAAGUUUGAAUUUGGUAAACUGCAGAAGAUUAACACUCUUUUAGAGUACAGUUACUCUUCGUUUUCAUGCAUAUUAAUAUCCUAAUAUAUUGUAUUAAUUUAUUUAAUGAUUGUUGUUUGAUACAAAAAUAGAAUAUGGAUAUAGAGUACAAACUGCCAAAAAUAAAUAUAUGUAAUAAAACAAGGCUUGUCACAAAAUUGGCAAGAGAAACUUUUCAAAUAUGAUUCAUAGCACUGCUAUAGCAGUUACCAGUCUAGUCUUCCUCUUACACACUGUGCCGAGUUUUGUAAGUUCAGUAAUUCCAAAAAGAAGAAUUGCUGGUUGCUAGAUGAGGUCAAAUUUUACAUGGCAUAUUAGCCUUGAUAUUUAUUUCUCAUUGAUGCAUUUUGUUUAAAGGACAAUUAUAUUUUAUUUCUUCUUUAUAUUUUUAAAUUUGCAGGUUCACCAUAUUCCUCUAAAAUUGGUUAAGUCCUUUAAUUAUCAGUUUGUAUUUACUUUUGGUUCCUACAUGAUAUCACCAUUUAUGCAUUGAAAUAUUGAAGUUUUGAAUGAAUAUUUUGUAUGUAUUAAAUUUCAUUAUAUUUUCAGUAAAACUUAUAUUUUAUAAAACUGAUUUAACAUUUAAAAUAUGAAACUCUGUGUAUUUUCUUAAAAAAUAGGAAGAAAGAAUACAAAUUAAUACCAGUAGUAAGUCCUAUUAUAUUACAGAUACAAAUGUGAUGUUUCAAAGUUAUUUGCAGUAUGCACUAAAUUAAAUUUGUUCAUAAACUUCAUUGCAGAUCAGCAAAACCAAUUUUCAUCAAAAUCCAAUCAGGUAUCAGUAUGAAAUUUGGACAGAUUAUGUUUUUAAGUGCUAAGAGCAGAAAACUUAUGUUUUGAUGUUACUGAAAGUUAAGUGACAGCUUUUGAAAAUAGGCAGGAUGAGAUGACAGUUUAUUUUUUUGUAAAGUUAUUCCUGUUUCCCCCCAAAAUUAGCUUUGGUCAUAUUUGACCACAUCUGAAGAUUAAUGCAUUAAUGGCCAGUGCCAAAUUUAUAGGUUGGGAUAACUUUUAGCAUACUUCCCUUAUUUUCAAAAAAUAAAAGGAGGUAGAAGAGAUCACCUUGCUGUCUGUGUAUCCCUUUCGUCCCUGUCAGUGCUAGGCAGUGGCUUGGUUAACACAUUCCCAUAGAAAGGAAUACACGUGCAACAAUAGAAGAACUGUUGGAUGUGGUGUUUUCUCUGCUGUCCUUGUAUAAAAUACUCAGUAGGUAGUGAAAGGAAAGCAGGCAUUUUACUUCUUUCCAGAUGUUAUUUUUCACUAGACAAAGAUCUCUCUAUAUAUUUGUAAGCGUGAAUGUAAUGAAUUUCUUUAUUAUUCAAGAUUGACUCAGUAUCAAAAUAUAUUUGUUUAUUAUAAUUCUAGUCAACUUGUUAGUAGUUUUGUUUAUAUAACCACUUAUAAAAAGUGACAUACACUGUUCCUUUGUGUUGAGCAAAAUGUUUCUCCAGACAUAUUUGUAUUAUUGAAUGUAAACAACUUAUAAUCUAAGUAGUGAUGCUUAUUAUCAGACUAUUAUUAACAGUAUUUUAUUGUGGAUACUUUGACAGUGGCUACAUUAAAAGAAAAUAUGUUAUGUGUAAAUAGAGCACUUGAAUCUGUUGGUAUUAACCUGUGUGAUUCACAGUAUACACUCACUGUAUCAGGUUCACUUAUCUGUAACCGUUUUGUGUCUGUACAUAAAGGUAUCUAAUUUGCAGCAUUACUAUACAA